UGGGGAAUAUUGCACAAUGGGCGAAAGCCUGAUGCAGCAACGCCGCGUGAGUGAUGAAGGCCCUCGGGUUGUAAAGCUCUGUCUUUUGGGACGAUAAUGACGGUACCAAAGGAGGAAGCCACGGCUAACUACGUGCCAGCAGCCGCGGUAAUACGUAGGUGGCAAGCGUUGCCCGGAUUUACUGGGCGUAAAGGAUGCGUAGGCGGAUUUUUAAGUGAGAUGUGAAAACCCUAAGCUUAACUUGGGGACUGCAUUUCAUACUGGAAAUCUAGAGUGCGGGAGAGGAGAAUGGAAUUCCUAGUGUAGCGGUGAAAUGCGUAGAGAUUAGGAAGAACACCAGUGGCGAAGGCGAUUCUCUGGACCGUAACUGACGCUGAGGCAUGAAAGCGUGGGUAGCAAACAGGAUUAGAUACCCUGGUAGUCCACGCCGUAAACCGAUGAGUACUAGGUGUAGGAGGUAUCGACCCCCUUCUGUGCCGCAGUUAAACACAAUAAGUACUCCGCCUGGGGAAGUACGAUCGCAAGAUUAAAA
rnacentral:rRNA from 1 species